rnacentral:rRNA from 1 species
GACGAACGCUGGCGGCGUGCUUAACACAUGCAAGUCGAACGGAAAGGCCCUGCUUUUGUGGGGUGCUCGAGUGGCGAACGGGUGAGUAACACGUGAGUAACCUGCCCUUGACUUUGGGAUAACUUCAGGAAACUGGGGCUAAUACCGGAUAGGAGCUCCUGCUGCACGGUGGGGGUUGGAAAGUUUCGGCGGUUGGGGAUGGACUCGCGGCUUAUCAGCUUGUUGGGGGGGUAGUGGCUUUCCAAGGCUUUGACGGGUAGCCGGCCUGAGAGGGUGACCGGCCACAUUGGGACUGAGAGACGGCGCAGACUCCUACGGGAGGCAGCGGUGGGGAAUAUGGCACAGUGGGCGGAAGCCUGAUGCAGCAGCGCCGCGUGCGGGAUGACGGCCUUCGGGUUGUAAACCGCUUUCGCCUGUGACGAAGCGUGAGUGACGGUAAUGGGUAAAGAAGCACCGGCUAACUACGUG